GUGCUCAUUUAGCAAGCAGCACAGAGACUAAAAUUGGAACAGUACAGAGAGGAUUAACAUGACCCAUAUGCAAUGAUGACAUGCAAAUCAUGAAGCAUUCUCUAUUUCA
ensembl:snRNA U6 U6 spliceosomal RNA